rnacentral:rRNA from 1 species
UGGGCUUGACAUCCCACGAACCUUGCUGAAAGGCAGGAGUGCCCGCAAGGGAGCGCGGAGACAGGUGGUGCAUGGCUGUCGUCAGCUCGUGUCGUGAGAUGUUGGGUUAAGUCCCGCAACGAGCGCAACCCUCACCCCUUGUUGCUACCAGGUAAAGCUGGGCACUCUAGGGGAACUGCCCCGGUCAACGGGGAGGAAGGCGGGGAUGACGUCAAGUCAUCAUGCCCCUUACGUCCUGGGCUACACACGUGCUACAAUGGCCGGUACAAAGGGAUGCCACACCGCGAGGUAGAGCUAAACCCAAAAAGCCGGUCUAAGUUCAGAUUGGAGUCUGCAACUCGACUCCAUGAAGGAGGAAUCGCUAGUAAUCGCGUAUCAGCACGACGCGGUGAAUACGUUCCCGGGCCUUGUACACACCGCCCGUCACACCACGAAAGCCAGCUGUACUCGAAGUCGCUGAG